rnacentral:lncRNA from 1 species
ACAAAGAUAAUACUUACCUAUUUGUUCAGUAUAAGAUUUCGAAUUUUAUUCAUAGUUAGUCUAAGAAAAUUGUCUUUGAUACUGAAAAUAUAUUGAAUGAAUUUGUAAGUUCAUAUUUUGUGGGAUCAAAUCCCACAAAUGCCCGAUACAAUCAUAUGUAAAGUGUCACGCCCCGACCCUCAGGCACGCACACAUCCCUUACUUUUGGUCGAUUUAAAAAUGCGAUAUCCCAGGACUAUGUAUCACCGACCCUUUCAUUUAUAUAUGCACAUGCGGAAGCAGUUAUAAUUCCCCAGACAAUAAAGCAAUGGGAUAGAAAAGCAGGCCAUACAUUUUUCUUACUGAAAAUUCACAUCUACACCUUUUUACAUGCAAACAAGGUCUGACAAGACAGGAUAGGAUUUCGGUCCUCAUCUGGGUCGUACUCGAUGUCAUACUCGGGGUCCUCCUCCACGUACUCCUCUUUGGGUUCCUCAACAGGGAUCUUCUCAUCAGAUUCAUGCUCCUUAGGCUCCUCAUCCAGGUCCUGAAAUGGUUAUUCAACAACCACUGAGACCACGUCUCAGCAAGUUCUACCUCCUAAGACCCGAUUAGUAAACUAAUACACCUUAGGGCUGCCUAUGCACAACAUAAGUAAGAGGACUUACCUUAGCCUCAGAUUCCACCUGCAUAUUAGUACAGAUCAAAUAGGCACACAAGCAAUCACAUCACAGAUCGAAGCAUCGAUCUAAUCGACUUAGUCGAUUUCACAUCAGGAAGACCACUCACGAUCAUCUCCCUUCAAUCAUUCAAUUCACAACAUCAACCCAAGGCAAUGCAUCACAUCAAGUCACACUCAGAUCGAAUAAUCGAUCAAUCGACCUAGUCGAUUACAAGUCAAUCAGACCAUCUCAUGGUCAUUUCCAAUCAAUCUGCCCAUUCACAACAUCAGAUCAAGCAAUGAUCAAUCGACCUAGUCGAUUACAUAUCAACAAGACCACUUCCGGUCAUUUCAACUAUUCCAAUUCAAUUCCCAAUUAUGAAUCACGGUCCUUAGGACACAACUUAAUUAUAGGUGGUAAUCAUGGCCCCACCAAGCAAUUUUCUUAGAUUUAGUGGCAUCACGGCCCCACCCGGCAACUUUUAAUAUGUAGUGGCAUCACGGCCCCACUCGGCAAUGCUAUAUGUAGUGGCAUCACGGCCCCACUCGGCAAUGUUAUAUGUAGUGGCAUCACGGCCCCACUCGGAAACUUUCAAUAAGUAGUGGCAUCAUCAACCGAUGCCCGGUUAUUCUUCAAUUAAUAACCAAAGAUGAUUCAAUUUAGGAAUAAAUCCUAAAAUCAUUGAUAAAUCAAUUUAGCACAAAAUCAAGCUCAAUUAAAUAAACAGACUGUACAACGACAAUCAGCACGAAAUUUCGGUCGCUGGCCAUCCCAGUUGAAUUUUCGGAAAAAUAAAUAAUUAAACAAUUAAUUCCGAAAAUUAAAUAAAUACAUACAAUAAAUUCAAUUUAGCAUAAUAUAAAACUCAAUUAAAUAAACGGACUGCACCACGAUCAUCAGCAUAAAAUUUCGGUCAUUGGCCAUCCCAACCUUAAUUUCCGAAAAUAAAUAAUUAAUUAAUUAAUUUCUAGAAUUAAAUAAUUAAUAUUAAAAACUCAAUUUAGCUCAAAAUAAAGCCCGAUUAAAUAAACGGACUUCACCACGGUCAUCAGCAUAAAAUUCCAGUUCUAGACCAUCUCAGUUGAAUUUUCGGAAAAUAAAUAAUUAUUUAAUUUAAUUCCGAAAAAUAAUAUUAAAAUACCAAAAAUCUCACUUAUGCCCGAAUUGCCUAAUUAACACCCGAUAAGGGUCGGGAAAAAUCCCACGAAGCAUCCAAUAAAUACUACAUGCAAUUCUCUAUCUAAUUACACUAAUCACAUCACUAAUAUACAAAGCAAUUAACUAAUAAUCACUAAUCAAUUCUAAUCUAACAACCUAAUUACACUUAAUUAACACUAAUCAACAUUUAAGUAUAAUUAGCAAACUAAGAAGGCAUUAGUGAGUAAAACUCACUUGAUAAACGCGAAGACCGGAUCACCGCACGGUGACGCGACGGCGGCCGAAUUCCAAAAUUUCGGCGACGUCGAUGCACCCUCGCGCCGGGCCAAGAAACUUUGCAAGCCCGCAGAAAUUCUGGGCUUCGAUCGAACUUGGGUCGAUUAACUUCGCAGGCUGAGUUGCUGAAACUUCUUGGGCUUCAAAACUGGGCCUGAGCUUUCACAGAAAUGGGCUGCCGAACAAGAAAGCUUCAUGGGCUGAACAAACAAACUGGACUGGCUGUCUUCGUGAAUGGGCUGUUCCCGGCCUGGGCUUCUUGUUGACUCACGGGCUGAAGGAACGCUUUACGCGAGAGACACGGACGAACGGUGCUACUUCAUUUAUGGACUGGCGCGGCAGAGACGGGGAAGCAGCUGCUGGCGAUGAAGACACGUGCGGCUCCGUGGAUUGAAGAAGCUGGAGAAGUGCGGAGAUGCGCACCAAGAGGAGUCAACCUCAGUGGUCGCACGGGUUGAUUUGCUGACCGACUUCACGAGCGGACAACACGGGCAGCUCAACCAAAAACUGAAGACGCAUGGAGAUUUCUUCGGUGAAUAGUGUUGUUGGCGUCUGAUCCGUGCGUGGGCUGUUGCGGUCAACUAAGGGGUUCUUGUGAGUGCAGCUGUUGACUGAAGGAGCUGGCUUCGGAGGAGGACUUCGAGCGUUGAAGAUGGAAGCAGCUUCGUCUGAGUUGCGACAGACGCACGGCAGCUAGCACACGGUCUUCCUCUUCGCUGAACGUUGACUGGAGAUGAGGAGGAACGGACGAGUGGCGCGGCUGCUUCGUGGGAUGUGGGCUGAGCGAAUCAGUGAGGGCUUCGCUCGGUGGCUUUGCCGGGUCAACCAAGUGGUGUCGCUUGAAGACUUCUACUGAAGAUUGACUGUGGGAAACCAAGCAUAGUGGAGCAGGUUGGUGCGCAGAGGAGAACUCGGUGGGUCGGCUGAAUGGGGAAUUCGGUGGUGUUGAGUGCGUCUAAAAGAAACAGCAAGGUGGUAGAGGGAUAGAGGAGAGAGGACGGAGCUGUUUCGGUCUGGAUCGACGGAAAGGAAAGAGAAUAGAGGAGUAGAAAUAGAAGAGAUAAGAAUGAGAGAGGUGCCGUGGAGAUGAAGUCGGCGAGACUUGCUGGAGAAGCCGAAUGAGAGGGAGUCAAGUCAAAACAAAAUAUCUCAUUCAUGAUUAACAAACCAUAAAAGUCUUUAGCCCAACCAAUGGAGAAUUUGCUCCAAUUUCACCCCAAAUUAAAUCAUUUUGU